AGACAUUACGCACACAUUCAUGUGACGUUACGUCUGUGUGUGUGUGUAUAUAAGAAUUAUUGACUGUAAACAGUGGGUUUCUGUUGCAAAAAAGCCAGAAGGUUCCUACCAGAAACUGUUACUUAUUAGCCAGAGCCUGUGUCACGCUGUUAGAGGGAUUCUUUGUUAGUGACAUCACAGGUGCUGGACACAGCGAGGGGGAGAGACGCAUUCACAACUUCAGACUGCAGGAGAUCGUUGAUGUUUGCGUCUUCAAUUUCAUGAUUUUGACAACAAUGUGGACAGCUGGGGAGACAUUUCUCAUUGCUGUCCAAAUCUGCAAUUCAAAAAUUUGAGUGCACAAGAAACUUCCCAGAAGUCUCCGUGAAAGACCAGUGAAGAUUGAUGCUAACUAGAUUAGCAAUACAGACCACAAUGCAUUGCGUUUAAAGGAUUUUUCAUGGAAAAAAAAAAUUCGGUGUGAACCCAGCAUAAGACGCCAACGCCUCCUUUGAUAGAUAAUGAUAAGCGCUAGUUCAGUGGCAGAAAUUUAAAUGUAUCUGCUGUAAAUCAUUUUUCACAUUUGUCGCCAAAAAGUGAUGGAAAUACAUGUCAGACGUCAGAGCUCUGUCUCCCCCUCUGGUCACCAACGGGAACUGUCUCCAGAGUUUUGAGUGUACUUCUUCUCCCAGCAACCCUGGCACCCAGUUUCUGGAUGAAAUGACACAUGACUUUCAUUUUUCAUCACUCGCAGUCUACUUAAAAACUGCAUUGAGCCUCACUCAGUGUGAAGUAUUGUUUAUGCCACUCUGUCUGCAUUACCCAUCGUUACAUUCAGACGUAGUUUUCUGAUUUCCUGACCAUGUUUUGUCUCGGACUCAGUUUGCCUACCGCCUGUCCCGAAUCUUGCCUGGAUCCUGACUACCCCUGUCUCUUCUCUGAUGCCCCCAUGCUCAUUAUUGACCCCUGCCUGCCUGACCCUGAUUUUGCUUUGUGGACUUUUAGCUGAGCUAAUAAACCUGUUCCAAUUGGAACCAGCCAUC